CAAGUGUUCAGUUUGCGAUCUGACCUCUUACAGGUGUGAGCACUGUUCAGGAAGCAUAAGAGGAGACAAGAGGUGAAAGAGAAGAGUUAAAGAGAGGUGCCGAGAAGUGUCCUUCGUACGAUCUACGAUCAGCAUCCACUUGCAUUUUCAAAACAAGAUCACGAUGGAGUUGAAGACAGUACUAGUUUUGGGCGCAAUGCUUCUAAACAUUGCCGUUUCGUAUGGCAGAACAUUGAUAGGAAGACACAGGCAAGCAUGUGAACCUCUGGCUGGACUUAAAACAGUGAGGCUACCGAAUUGCAGAGGUAGAAUAUAUGUGAACCAAUGCAUUGGAACAUGUUUGUCUUGGGACGGACUGCCGGAGAAUGCCGACAUACCAGUGAACAGGUGCACGUGCUGCAAACCAGUUACAUUUAGAGAAAAGAAAGUUUUGUUGGAAUGCACAAGUAAAUUCAGAAGGCGGCAAGUGGAGGAGCACACGAUCAAAGAGCCAAUAGCAUGUGGAUGCUCUCCUUGUAACAGAAGAAGGAAGAGGUCUCGUGUCUCUAAAAGCUCUUUUCCAUCGACAUUGAAGCGGACAUCCCCGCUCCAGUAGGACUCUUGUCAAAUGUAGUGGUAGCAGUAGAACAAGUUUUCUCUUGUACCCUACAACAAAAGAGGGUUUAAAAAGGCAUAUUUUCUCGAAAUUAUGAAUCCCAAGAAAGACAAAUUGACAGCUAAAUCUUCCAGAAAUAUUCUCUUAGAAGAAAGGUAGCUCUUGGAAAUAA